rnacentral:rRNA from 1 species
UACGUAGGGGGCAAGCGUUGGUCCGGAAUCAUUGGGCGUAAAGAGCGUGUAGGCGGCCCGGUAAGUCCGCUGUGAAAGUCGGGGGCUCAACCCUCGAAAGCCGGUGGAUACUGUCGGGCUAGAGUGCGGGAGAGGCGAGUGGAAUUCCUGGUGUAGCGGUGAAAUGCGCAGAUAUCAGGAGGAACACCGAUUGCGAAGGCGGGUCUCUGGGCCGUAACUGACGCUGAGGAGCGAAAGCAUGGGGAGCGAACAGG